rnacentral:pre_miRNA from 14 species
GGGCUCUUCCAUGUCUCCCAGCCCAAGGUGCAGUGCUGCAUCUCUGGUCAAUUGGGAGUCUGAGAUGAAGCACUGUAGCUCGGGAAGGGAGGAACUGCGCACCCUG